CCUACGGGAGGCAGCAGUGGGGAAUAUUGGGCAAUGGGCGCAAGCCUGACUCAGCAACGCCGCGUGAAGGAAGAAGGCUUUCGGGUUGUAAACUUCUUUUCUCAGGGACGAAGCCAGUGACGGUACCUGAGGAAUAAGCCACGGCUAACUACGUGCCAGCAGCCGCCGUACUACGUAGGUGGCAAGCGUUAUCCGGAUUUACUGGGUGUAAAGGGCGUGUAGGGGGGAAAGCAAGGCAGAUGUGAAAACCCUGGGCUCAACCUGUGGCCUGCAUUUGAAACUGUUGUUCUUGAGUACUGGAGAGGCAGACGGAAUUCCUAGUGUAGCGGUGAAAUGCGUAGAUAUUAGGAGGAACACCAGUGGCGAAGGCGGUCUGCUGGACAGCAACUGACGCUGAGGCGCGAAAGCGUGGGGAGCAAACAGGAUUAGAUACCCGGGUAGUC
rnacentral:rRNA from 1 species